CGAGGGCCUGGAGAGUGUUGAACAACCUUCACAACAAGCAACUUCUCCGGUGGUUGCUACAAAAAUGUUUGCCAACAGCAAUGUAGGGGUGAGACUGCAGCUGUAGGCGAUAUUGACUGCGUGUACCUCGAGCGAGGGACAAAGAAGGUGGCUAGUGCUGUUUGCUCCCCUUGGAGCUGAGAAAGUGGAACGGCCGGGAGAAGAAAAGAGAAUAAGCUCUUUUUAUCCCUUUACUGAGCGGCUAUCAUUUGCUGUCAUUGGGGCGGAGAGUAAAAGCCAGAGCUACACACAAAGGAAGUAACCGGAAGAGCCUGUUUCAUACCCCAAAGGCAAGACUGCUUGUCAUCUGCUCCUCCUCCUAUCUUAGAACUCAAACAGCACUAGAACAGCAGCAAAGGGGGAGGGUGGAAGUGUAGAGAUAAGGUACUUAAAUGUGGAAUUGUUGUCAAUAAGAAAAUCACGUUUGGAUAAACGAAGUUUUAGGUAAAGUUCAAUGUUAUUCGCAAAAUAAUUAGAUGCAACGCAGGUGGUACCUUUGUCUUUGACAUCCUUAUGUUGCAUAUGUCUUGCCAUAAUUUGCCUCAACAUUUCCAAAGGAUGAAUCCUAAUAUGAGCAAAAUAUAGUAGCACUACAUAUAGACUACUUUCCCAUAUUUGGGUUGGGUACCCAGAAGGGUUACUGCUACUUUCAGGAUCUAGGAGUAACCUUGUGGGUCUACACAGUCCUAACACUGUAUGAAGCACCAGGAUGAUUGGCACUAACCCAAUAGACACAAUUAGCUCAAAGCAAAGGAAUUUACUAAGAUGACAAAACAAACAAAAAUCCCCAGCUAAAGUACGUUGUAUGUAUUUAUGGGAGACUGCAGCCUAGGAAGAGUGGGUUCAAAGUUAAGAGUAUAUUGGUAGCAGAGGCACACUUAUAGGAUACACAUGUGAUAAAAAGAACUCACAACUCCUGGUACUGCAGUGUCUGGAACACCUUUCUUUUGUAGAGAAUUCACACAUCUAUUGUGUGCAGCAUGUCUUCCGUUGUAUUGCCUAACUAGGUUUGCAGUCGGUUCUUCUCUAUAGCUCUACUCUGAAUUGCCAAGUCUUUGAGCUCUCCUGAAUCCAUAGCUGGUGCUCUUGUCUGCUUCCGGAGGUCCUUUCCUUGAAGCUGUUUUCUCCCUCUUCCUGCCUUGCUGUUUCUGUGACCACCUGGAAUGUAUCAUUUUUCCCUCAAUUAUGCCUCAAACUCUCUCAAACAGACCAACUCUGGAGCUGUUGGUUAGGGUAACACCCUCUAUGUAGGUCACUACAGGCUGCCAUUUACAACCUAGGAGAGAAAAAUUCCCUUUUCCCACUGUACAGUAUGUCGGUCACAAAUCAUUCUAAUGAUUGGACUUCCUCAAAUUUCAAGGCUUAGCCUGGAGCCCAAAGCCCUUUUAUUGACUGUAUUUGUUUGUUCUCUUAUAACUUAAUAUUUUGUAUACUGGUUGUGUCAUAACUUUGCACUUUAACAUCCUGGACAAAUUGGAGAAGGCAAGUAUGUUAAUGCUCUCUUGGUGACAUUGUGAAUUGGGCCAAACAUUGUGGAUCAUAAUUUAGAACUAUUCCAAAAGUAUCAGUAAACUAUAAUUAAUCUUUUACCUAAGGAAGUCAAGAACAGAGGGGAAGGCAGUAGUACAAAAAUACAGCAGCACUUUUUGUAGUAGUAAAGAAUUGGAAGCAAAGUGGGGACCCAUCAAUUAGGUCAUAGCUGAAUAAUUUGUGGUAUAUGCAUGUAAUGGAUUGUUGCAAUAAUCCAUUAUAUCACAACACAAUCCAUUACAUCACAAACACAAUAAAUAUGAAGAAUUAAAAGAAACUUUGGAAGACUUACAUGAACUGAUGCAGAGAGAAGUACAGAACCAAGGAAACAAUUUACAUAAUGACUACAAUAAUGUGAAGGGAGGGGAAAAAGCAUUGAAAGUCAUACGAAAUUGAGUCAGUGUGCUGAUCAGCAUUGACUUCAGAGGACAGCAUACAUUUUCAUACAUGGGUAAUGUGUUGGUUUUGUUAUGCACUAUCAUUUACAUCCAUGUGAUUCAUCAGAAGUAGAUACAUGCAAUCAGAUUUUACAAGUUUCUGUCAUGAACAAGGAAGCCUGUAAACCCUUUUAUUGUUAUUACCAGAUUGACAAAUAGCUGCCUCAUUAUCCCUCAGCAAAGGGUCACCAACCUUCAUUCCUCUAUUUUUCCUAUGACUCUUAUGAUGAUCUCUUAUCUGACAGCACUUGUAUAUCCACGGGAAUAGCAUCCAUGUGAGCCAAUCAGUUGCUUCUUCCUUGGAGCCCAGCUCUUUCCUCUUAAUAAAAGAAUCAUAUUUGUUAA